rnacentral:rRNA from 1 species
AUAUGCAGCCAUAGCACCCUGAGAAUGCCCCAUCUCAUCUGAUGUGGGAAGCUAAGCAGGGUUGGGCCUUGUCAGUGCUUGGAUGGGAGACCAAUGGUACCUGGGGUGGGUUAGA